AGCGACAGAGGGCAGGGAGAACAGAGACUCGGGCGGAUCUCCGACCAGGAGUGGGUGGUCGGGGUCAGGCCGGCACUGCCAGCCAGCAUAGCAGGGGGGACCUCGCGCACCAGCUGGUUCAAGCGAAGCACGCGAGCGGGAGGAGCAGAGCAAAAAGCAGACGGAGAGAGAACAAGGAAAGCCGUGGGGGUGCGAACCAGAGGAAAACCGGAGAGAGAGCUUGAGCGAGAGGGGAGUUUUCGGAGAGACAGAGAGCGACCUGGAGGGAGAGAGUGAAACUUGAGAGCGAGAAGGAGUUUUCUAGCAGAUCGGCCACGCUUGAACCCUCUUCGACGACCUCUGGCCAAUACCCUCUAGCAUACGAUCUUUCGCUCCCGAAUUUCCGCGUCGCUGAAAGAGGAAGAUUUCCGACGGCAGAAACAAUGUUUUUUGGCAGAGAACCAUAUUUUUCUAAGGGAAAAUUCAGUCGAGAAGCAUGCUUACAGAAGAGUUCAAGAGCAUGACCAUCAUUCAUAGGAUGAUCCGGCUUCCCAGACCAAACUAAGUUAGCGCCUCAGCCAAUGGUUUAAUUUGGUUGAAGUGGUCCAUAUCAUCAAAGACAACGAGAACUCUUCAUGUUCGGAAUAGUCUUUCUAUCAAUGUGGUACCGUCAUUCAACGUUUUCACAUCUGGUGGUGAGGUCUUGAAUUAACUUCUUCUGCAGAGAUACCACUCCAUGCUAUUCAAUAUCAUCUCGAACAUUUUCAAGAAAACAACAACCAUCAAAGAGGCAACUGAUUUUGUUGUA